UACGUAGGGUGCGAGCGUUAAUCGGAAUUACUGGGCGUAAAGCGCGCGCAGGCGGUUCGUUGUGUCUGAUGUGAAAGCCCCGGGCUCAACCUGGGAAUGGCAUUGGAAACUGGCGAGCUAGAGUGUGGCAGAGGGGGGUGGAAUUCCGCGUGUAGCAGUGAAAUGCGUAGAGAUGCGGAGGAACACCGAUGGCGAAGGCAGCCCCCUGGGCUGACACUGACGCUAAGGCACGACAGCGUGGGGAGCAAACAGG
rnacentral:rRNA from 1 species